CAGCAGCCGCGGUAAUGCGAAGGGUGCAAGCGUUAAUCGGAAUUACUGGGCGUAAAGCGUGCGUAGGCGGUUUGUUAAGUCUGUUGUGAAAUCCCCGGGCUCAACCUGGGAAUGGCAAUGGAUACUGGCAAGCUAGAGUGUGUCAGAGGAUGGUGGAAUUCCCGGUGUAGCGGUGAAAUGCGUAGAGAUCGGGAGGAACAUCAGUGGCGAAGGCGGCCAUCUGGGACAACACUGACGCUGAGGCACGAAAGCGUGGGGAGCAAACAGGAUUAGAUACCCGGGUAGUCCCUGUCUCUUAUAC
rnacentral:rRNA from 1 species